UUUUUUUUUUUCCUUUUAUCAUCUGAUGAUGAACUUAAUGUUUCCAUUUGUAUUAAUGGAAUACUAAGUCCCUCUGUGAUUUCUGAACCAAGCUAUUCCUAGGCCUGAGUUUUAUUUUGUUGACACAGAAAUAAAUUAGAAGGCCAAGCGUGGUGGCAUGUGCCUGUAGUCCUAGUUGCUGAGGUAAGAGGAUUGCUUGAGCCCAGGAGUUCAAGGCUGCAGCAAGCUUUGAUUGCGCCACUGCACUCCAGCCUUGGCGACAGACUAAGACGCUGUCUCAAAAAAAAACAAAAACGACAAAAAAAAAACAAAACAGAAAAAAUAAACUAAGGCAAUGACAGUCCCUGGCAAAUGCUGGGAGGGAGGCAGCAGUGGUCAGGGAAGGUAACCCUGAAGCAGGACUUGUAAAGCAAAUAAGAUUGGGAGGCCAAGGUGGGUGGAUCACGAGGUCAGGAGUUCGAGACCAGCCUGGCCAACAUAGUGAAACCCCGUCUUUACUAAAAAUACAAAAAAAUUAGCCAGGUGUGGUGGUGGGUGCCUGUAGUCCCAGCUACUUGGGAGGCUGAGGCAGGAGAAUCUCGAACCCAGGAGGCGGAGGUUACAGUCAGCUGAGACCGCACCAUUGCACUCCAGCCUGGGUGACAGAGCAAGAUUCCGUCUCAAAAAAAAAAAAAAAAAAAAAA
rnacentral:lncRNA from 10 species